rnacentral:rRNA from 1 species
GUACGUAUGGGGCGAGCGUUGUUCGGAGUUAUUGGGUGUAAAGGGCGUCUAGGCGGGAGAUUAAGUUAGAUGUGAAAGGCGUGGGCUUAACCCACGAAUUGCAUCUAAAACUGGUUUUCUUGAGUUCGGGAGAGGAGAGCGGAAUUCUUGGUGUAGCGGUGAAAUGCGUAGAUAUCGAGAAGAACACCAGUGGCGAAGGCGGCUCUCUGGCCUAGAACUGACGCUGAAGCGCGAAAGCGUGGGUAGCGAACGGGAUUAGAUACCCCUGUAGUCCCUGAG